rnacentral:lncRNA from 1 species
CGGUAGAGGGCAAGUAACUACUAACCACCACUCUAUGCAACACGACGGCAACAUCUCGCUUCCAGGACCUUAACCAUACUCUCUCAUUAACACAGGCAAAUACACACAGACACACACUCAGGCCACAAGUUGAGAGAGCUGCCAUACACGGACACACUCAGAGAGACUCCAUACUCUCUCUAGUACGUUCAUGACAGUGGGUUCUCUUGCCCUGAGUGACCCCACACAUUUUACACAUUCAAUAAUACAUACACACAGUGGGAAUUUGCAAAGCUCCAGACAGAGGAAAAGCUGUGGAUUUGGACAUGGAUCUGCUUCUGUAUCCUGUCCCUCUGCUGAGUGUGUUUCUCCUCAUUCCAGCAGUUUCAGCCCAAUCUGCCAUCAAUCAGACCAACCAGAUAGAGGUUUCCAUGGUGACCUCACCCACAACACUGUCAUCCAACACUAUUCAUGUGGCUGGCAGCGUAACCACCCCAACUACAGCCCAUCCAAUGACUGAUGUGACAUCAUCCCCAGCACUCUCACCGCCAGGAAAUGACAGCAGUGACAAUGAGGCACCCACAUCCUCACUUCGACUAUCGUGUCCUAAUGUCAGAAGCUCUGCUCAGACUAAAAUACCUAGUACGCACUCACAAGACACUGCUGCUGGACCAGUCUUAGGAUCAACAGCUGCUGCAACAGCAACUACUUCGACCUCUGUGACUUCCCCUGAGGGACCCAAAGGGACACACACAGACAUCCCUCCCACUCAGUCACCGGACAAGAGCCUCACCAUGCUCGCCUUUGGUGUCAUGAGUUUAAUCCUCAUUCUCGUCAUUAUCAUGGUGGUUUUAGUAACAGUGGUCAACCUAAAAGACAAGUGCAGCAACUCCAAGGAGGAAGGUAAAAAGAGCAGUGAUUCUGUGGUGUCUGAAAGCAAUGUCACGUUUAGUGGAGAAAAAGAGAGCAUCACUUUGAUCUCCAUGAAGACCAUUAACACAGAAACUGACACAGACUCCCCCCAGGUCUCCUCCAUUCACAGUACAACACUGGACUAUGAGGAGCAGGAGCUAAACACAGACCUACUGAACAAUAAGCUGGUGUGAAAAUAAAGACCCUAGAUGUUCCGUUCCAAAACACAGAAAUCACCAAACUACUCAAACAAAAUAGUACAGUGAUUGUUCUAUACAUCUGAGAUCAAGUUACCUGGAGUCCACACAGGACCUGAAUUCAUACCUGUGGGGAUAUUAUACAUUAAGCUAGAACUAGGCCUAUCGUUGUGUCUCAUGUUGCCAUUCUAAUACAAAUAUCACAUGUAUUUGUGUGAUGAUAUCAAAACUGCCUUUAUGGAG